CACGUAGGGUGCGAGCGUUGUCCGGAAUUAUUGGGCGUAAAGAGCUCGUAGGCGGUGUGUCGCGUCGGCCGUGAAAACCUGCAGCUUAACUGUGGGCUUGCGGUCGAUACGGGCAUCACUGGAGUUCGGCAGGGGAGACUGGAAUUCCUGGUGUAGCGGCGAAAUGCGCAGAUAUCAGGAGGAACACCGGUGGCGAAGGCGGGUCUCUGGGCCUUACCUGACGCUGAGGAGCGAAAGCGUGGGGAGCGAACAGG
rnacentral:rRNA from 1 species